UACGUAGGUGGCAAGCGUUGUCCGGAUUUACUGGGCGUAAAGAGCGCGCAGGCGGCUGGUCAAGUCCGAUGUGAAAUCUCCCGGCUCAACUGGGAAACUGCAUCGGAAACUGAUCGGCUUGAAGGUGGGAGAGGGUAGUGGAAUUCCCGGUGUAGUGGUGAAAUGCGUAGAUAUCGGGAGGAACACCAGUGGCGAAGGCGAAUCUCUGGACAGUUACUGACACUGAGGCACGAAGGCCAGGGGAGCAAAG
rnacentral:rRNA from 1 species